rnacentral:rRNA from 1 species
GAUGAACGCUGGCGGCGUGCCUAAUACAUGCAAGUCGAGCGAACAGACGAGGAGCUUGCUCCUCUGACGUUAGCGGCGGACGGGUGAGUAACACGUGGAUAACCUACCUAUAAGACUGGGAUAACUUCGGGAAACCGGAGCUAAUACCGUAUAAUAUAUUGAACCGCAUGGUUCAAUAGUGAAAGACGGUUUUGCUGUCACUUAUAGAUGGAUCGGCGCUGCAUUAGCUGGUUGGUAAGUUAACGGGUUACCAAGGCAACGAUGCGUAGCCGACCUGAGAGGGUGGUCGGCCACACUGGAACGGAGACACGGUCCAGACUCCUACGGGAGGCAGCAGUAGGGAAUCUUCCGCAAUGGGCGGAAGCCUGACGGAGCAACGCCGCGUGAGUGAUGAAGGUCUUCGGAUCGUAAAACUCUGUUAUUAGGGAAGAACAAAUGUGUAAGUAACUAUGCACGUCUUGACGGUACCUAAUCAGAAAGCCACGGCUAACUACGUG